AUCGCUUCUCGGCCUUUUGGCUAAGAUCAAGUGUAGUAUCUGUUCUUAUCAGUUUAAUAUCUGAUAUGUCCCCUAUAAGGGGACGAAAUAUUAAACGGAUUUUUGAGACAGGGAGCUGAAGAAGGGGCUUGCUCCAUUCACUCCACGCAUCGACCCGGUAUUGCAGUGCCGCCGGGAACGGUGCAACCCUC